GAUCUGAUCAAACGUGCUCAUCAGUGCUUUCGACGUGCAUGCUGAUGAAGUCUUAUUUCGAAAUUGUGAAGCAAUCUCAACUAAGAAAAGAUAUUACUUAAAUUCCCAAAUAAAAGUUCAUCGAGUACGAUUUAUCAUGUGGCGCGUAUAACCACGUGGAGAAAUCCGCGCAGCGUUCGUUCUUGAACCGUACGUGAUUCACUCAUUAGGUCUGCACCCCGGAUUUGUAAUUCAUGAUCCAGUUCAUCAUCUGCGAGAUGGCUUGCAUUCAUCGCGAAAUAUUGUGCCUUUACAUGUUGUUCCAUAUUCCUAUUCAGAAUCGUUAUUUAAAUUUUCAAACUUAGCGAGAUUAAAUACAAAUAUGAAAUUUUUGAGAUUACACAAUAAAAUUAU